GUGGGGAAUAUUGCGCAAUGGGCGAAAGCCUGACGCAGCGACGCCGCGUGAGUGAUGAAGGCCUUCGGGUCGUAAAGCUCUGUUGGGUGGGAAAGAAAGAUUUCGGAGAAUAACACCUCCGAUUUCAGACGGUACUCGCCCAGAAAGCACCGGCUAACUCCGUGCCAGCAGCCGCGGUAAUACGGAGGGUGCAAGCGUUGUUCGGAAUCAUUGGGCGUAAAGCGCGUGUAGGCGGGAAGGCGUGUCGGGUGUGAAAGCCCUGGGCUCAACCGAGGAUUGGCGCCCGAAACUGCCUUUCUUGAGUACGGGAGAGGGAAGCGGAAUUUCCAGUGUAGAAGUGAAAUUCGUAGAUAUUGGAAGGAACACCGGUGGCGAAGGCGGCUUCCUGGACCGAUACUGACGCUGAGACGCGAAAGCGUGGGGAGCAAACAGGAUUAGAUACCCGAGUAGUCC
rnacentral:rRNA from 1 species